rnacentral:rRNA from 1 species
AUUGAACGCUGGCGGCAGGCCUAACACAUGCAAGUCGAACGAGUGGCGGACGGGCGAGUAAUGUCUGGGAAACUGCCUGACGGACGGGGCUAACUACUGGAAACGGUAGCUACUACCGCUUACCAUCGGAUGUGUCUUCAGGGGAUUAGCUAGCAGGUGGGGUAACGGCUCAUCUAGGCGACGAUCCCUAGCUGGUCUGAGAGGGUGACCAGCCACACUGGAACUGAGAAACGGUCCAGACUCCUACGGGAGGCAGCAGUAGGGAAUAUUGCACAAUGGGCGCAAGCCUGAUGCAGCAAUGCCGCGUGAAUGAAGAAGGCCUUCGGAUUGUAAAGUACUUUCGUCGGAGAAGCGUUACUCGCAGAAGAAGCACCGGCUAACUCCGUGCCAGCAGCCGCGGUAAUAC